rnacentral:rRNA from 1 species
AGAGCGAACGCUGGCGGCAGGCCUAACACAUGCAAGUCGAGCGGGCGUAGCAAUACGUCAGCGGCAGACGGGAGAGUAACACGUGGGAACGCGCCCUUCGGUUCGGAAUAACUCAGGGAAACUUGAGCUAAUACCGGAUACGCCCUUACGGGGAAAGAUUUAUCGCCGAAGGAACGGCCCGCGUCGGAUUAGCUAGUUGGUGAGGUAAUGGCUCACCAAGGCGACGAUCCGUAGCUGGUCUAAGAGGAUGAUCAGCCUCACUGGGACUGAGACACGGCCCAGACUCCUACGGGAGGCAGCAGUGGGGAAUAUUGGACAAUGGGCGCAAGCCUGAUCCAGCCAUGCCGCGUGGAUGAUGAAGGCCUUAGGGUUGUAAAGUCCUUUCAGCGGGGAAGAUAAUGACGGUACCGCAGAAGAAGCCCCGGCUAACUUCGUGCCAGCAGCCGC